AUUGAACGCUGGCGGCAGGCUUAACACAUGCAAGUCGAGCGAGCGGCGGACGGGUGAGUAAUGUCUGGGAAACUGCCUGAUGGAGGGGGAUAACUACUGGAAACGGUAGCUAAUACCGCAUACCAUCAGAUGUGCCCAGAUGGGAUUAGCUAGUAGGUGGGGUAAUGGCUCACCUAGGCGACGAUCCCUAGCUGGUCUGCGAGGAUGACCAGCCACACGGGAACUGAGACACGCUCCAGAUUCCUACGGGAGGCAGCAGUGGGAAAUAUGGCACAUGGGGCGCAAGCCUGAAGAAGCCAUGCGGCGUGUGUGAAGAGGGCCUUGGGGUUGUAAAGCACUUUCAGCGAGGAGGCGUUACUCGCAGAAGAAGCACCGGCAACUCCGUGCCAGCAGCCGCGGUAAUAC
rnacentral:rRNA from 1 species